UUUGAGAUGCUGAACGCGGAGCUGGAGGGGAACCAGGAGCUGGCCAACAGCCGCAUGGCCGAGCUGGAGAAGCUGCAGCAGGAGCUCCAGCAGGCCGUCAGGGGCCACGAGCGCCUCAAGGUGACCCCGGGGGGGCUUUGGGGACAUUGGGGGGGUCAUUGGGGACAUUGGGGGGGGUGUUGGGGACAGUUGGGGGGGCGUUGGGGUCAUUGGGGUUAUGUGGGAUAGCAGGGGGGUGGGAAGGGUUGGAGGAUCUCAAGAACGUUGUCAACAUUGGGGUCAUCAACGUUGGGGUCAAUGUUGCGGUCAUCAACGUUGGGGACAUCGUAAAUAUUGGGGUCAUUGUCAACAUUGGGGUCAACGUUGGGGACAUCAACAUUGGGGUCAUCAACGUUGGAGUCAAUGUUGGGGACAUCGUCAACGUUGGGGGGUCAAUGUUGGGGUCAUCAAUGUUGGGGACAUCAUAAAUAUUGGGGUCAUCGUCAACUUUGGGGUCAACGUUGGGGUCAAUGUUGGGGACAUCGUCAACGUUGGGGACAUCGUCAAUGUUGGGGUCAUGGUCAACAUUGGGGUCAUCAACGUUGGGGUCAAUGUUGGGGGAUCAACGUUGGGGAGUCAACGUUGGGGACAUCAGUGUUGGGGUCAUGGUCAAUGUUGGGGACGUCAGAGUUGGGGUCAUCAACGUUGGGGGGGGUCAACGUUGGGGACAUUGUCAACGUUGGGGUCAUCUACAGUGGGGUCAUGGUCAACGUUGGGGACAUCAACGUUGGGGAUGUCAAUAUUGGGGACAUCAUAAAUAUUGGGGAAACGGUGAAUGUUGGGGUGUCGGGGCCAUAAAUUUGGGGGACGUCACGAACGUUGGGGUCAUGGUGGCCGCUGGGGACACGGUGAACGUUGGCGACGUGAACGUUGGGGACACCAUAGAUAUUGGGGACACCGUAGAUUUUGGGGACAUUUUAGACAUUGGGGAUGUUGUAGAUAAUGGGGAAAAUGGCAAAUUUUUU
rnacentral:lncRNA from 1 species